UAUUGACUCCCUGCAUGAUUUCUCCUAUUCUCUUGUCUCUUCUGAACCUUAAAUAUACACUUUUAAAUAUAUAUUUGUUUCAAGAUGAAUAGAAACUUGAACAUGCCUCAUCAUCUACAGCAAGCAAAGAUGCUUUACAGUGCAGCUGCGCACGUUACAGACGUGUGAGUGCAUGCACACACACACCAUGGGAAGGCAGAGCUUGUGCUGUGUUUGAUGCAGUGGGCACAGCAGUACAGUAAAACAGCCUCACUUUUGCAGUUUGCAUUCCUUCAGUGGUUUGUUGGCAUAGUUUAUGACAGCUAUUUAUAUUCAUUUCAAGCCUGGGGGAAGAACAAAGCUUGAAAGAUGGUUGCUGGAAAUAAGAGUAAUUUCAGCUUUUAUCCAGCCUCCUGAAUUCAUCUUCCUAAGGACAAAUGUAGUUGUGAAGUCAAGAGGACAGUUGAAGACCAGUUUCUAGGAAUCUUUCUUCUCCAGGAAACCCUGUUGCUGUACUGUGACUUCAAAGCUGCUGCCAUGGCUGCAUGUGUGGAAAGCUAUCAUUUACUUGGCACGGGCAAAAUUUUCGUAUGGUACACACAUGGACAGAAAUUCCAAAACCUUAAACCAAAGAACUUUUCAUUUAAUGGAAAACUUGGAAAAAGAUCUUCUCAGCCUCUGCAGCAGUGUUAUGGAAAGAGACUGAGGCUACCAGCCCUUCCCAAACCAAUGAUCCCAGAAUCUCUGGAGGAAUUUGUGAAUUUGAAGAUCUAUUUCAGCUUCAUUGUUCCCCUGCCAUUUGAAUUACUGGCCCAGAAACAUAUAAUUCAAACAGAAUUCAACUGAGAAGUGCACUAUAAAUAAUAUUCUCACCAUACAGAAAAGUGAGUAUUAUAUAGGUAAUAUUUUAACCAAACUAGAAGAGCUCUGACUGUGCACUAACUCUUAUUUUGUUCCGCAGUGUUAACACUGGGGAUUAUAGUUAGCUUGCAGCUGGAAGGAAUGGAAUCUGGAACUUCCAGAUUUCUAUUCCAAGUAGAAAAGGUUUGCCAUUUAGUUUGACCAUUGCUACCAAAUACAUUUGAAAAAAAAUUAGUAGCAAAAAUCGAAACAUGGUAAUUUGAAGUCUGGUUUAAACCUUCUUACUAUUUUUCUUUCCUGUAACUAUAAAAUAAAAGUCUUCAUUCCAGUGGAUUUGUCAAUUGCCCAAUUAAGGGCAUUUUGUGAGAAAACAGAAACAUUUCAUGUACUGUAUCAUAAAAAGGAAAGAGCAUUAAGUGGUUUUCUUUGAUAAACUCUUAGGCCAAACCAUGCUUCUAAUCUGGUCACCUAGAGGCAUUUCAGAGCUGUGUGAAGCACUUCCGGUUCUGAAAGUAGAUGAUUUUUCUGACAGGCAGGUAAUGCAAAAUUGGACUAUGUCAUAAGAGAAGGGAAGCUUGAAUUGACUUGCUCAGCACCUCUGUAUUAUCCAGUAUAGUCAGAAUAUAGUUAUAAAAACAUGGUAGGAAUUAUCACAUUGAAAAUUCAAAGAAACAAGCACAUAUUUUAAAAAAUCUAGAACUUCUCCUCUGUAGUUGCUCUAAUCUUACUUUGGUUAAUUUCAGUUUUUUAAAUGAUGAUUACUACCCUUAAAUUUUCUAAUGUAUUUUGAAUACUGAUAAUUUUAAUUUGAGAUAUUUGGACAGCUUGAGAAUCUUCUGAUGAAACUGAGAUAUAACCCUCAUUGAGUUAUAUGAGGGUUAUAUCCCCAAAACCCUUCCCCAGACUAAUUUGUUUUGUUUUGGUUUUGCUUUGUAUUGGGUGCAGAACACAAUGAGAAAUUGAUUGUUUUACUCCUGGCUAUUGCUAUUCCAUGGGUUUUUAAAGUUGUAACUCUAAUAUACUGACCCUUUUUUCAGAAGAAGGCACUAUAGGUGACUUGCUUUCAUCUGUGAAUGUUUGUCUAUCCAUCUUUUAUUUUUCUGGUUAAAACUACCUCCAGCUAAUGUGUCAUUCAGGAUUCUGGGCGCCCACCACCCAAGUUUUGUGGUGAUUCCUUUUUAAAGCUUAGAUAAGCUUUUCCUGCUCUGAAUGGAAGUUUCUCUCAUGCUAUACAAACUAGUCAUCAUGUAGAGCUUGUUCUUUUAGAUCUUUCUGGAAGUGGGCUGGAGGGCUUCGGGAGGCUUGGGUGAGCUUCUACCCCGCUCCAGACUGACCUCUGGUUGAUAGUCCAGGCUCAGCUCUCAACCUCAUUACUGCUUGCCCUGUGCUGCCUGGUGCUUAUUUCCAGAAGCCAGAAUGAGGACUUUUGUCCCCAGAAAGACUCCCCUGCCUCCGUAUGGCCCCCUUCUCCAGGAACAUCUUGUCCUUUUCUCCCAGCCUGUUCUUACCAGCAGCCCUUGAUAAUUUGCUACAGGUGUUUGAGACUUACAUAGUAGCCCCUUAUCUUCUGGGCUUCUACAUCUGGACAAACCAAAUAUUUUUGGUAUCAUAGCUAAACUGAAAGAGAAUAAUCUGUGUAGGUCAAAGAAAGAAACAUUACUUAGAGCUUUUUUAAUAUACAGAUUGUGAGAUUCUAUUACUUUUUGAUCUUGUAAACUUUAAAUUUCUUUUUGAGAUAGUUAUUCUACUUGUUACCAUAGUAGUUAGUCUGCUAGUCAGAAAAAAUAAGUCAGUGAAAGCAAGAGGUAAUUAAGGUAAUUUAGUGUUGCCCCACUAAAUUACCUUAAACUAUAGUCAAGAUUUUAUAUAUCUAAUAUCACAAAAUUGAAUGAAAAGGGAAAUACUUGUUAAAACAAAAAUGUUUACAGUAUUGGGAACCUUCUCUUUCUUUUUGCAUAAAUAUAUUCUGAAGUAUGCUGUACUCUCCCAAUUACCUAAGUUUUCCAGCAUUUUUUAAUUCUAUGCCACAAAGGUAAUCCGAUUAUUAUUGUGAUAUGCAAUUAAACUCUAAUGUUACUUGGACUGCAUAUUUUUCUGCAUUUCAUAUUAACCAAAUUAUUUUUACCCAUUAAUUACUUUCUAAUUAUUUUAAUUCUAAGGAAAGGAUACUAUUUAUUGAAUAAGGGGUAAUACUUUGUAAAAAACAUCAAAGAGUCCAGCCCUCAAUUUUUCAGUAAAGAAUUGUUGCUGUCCUCAUCUAGAUGCCUUUAAAAUAUCCAUGCAACCUUGGUUCAAAAUUGCCCUUCAGGGUGACUAGCAUAACUGUAAUUUGGUAAUAAGUCAUAGUCUUAAAACAAGCAGGAUUGCAAGAUGACUUCAAAAUGAGCAAAAAUCACAAAUCUAAUUCCUGGAUUCUCCUGGCUAUGCUAUUUACUAGUGAUUCCAGAUCAUUUUUACUUUACAGCAAACACUUUCUAUUAAGAAAUUAAUUUGACUACACUAUUGUUGCUCAAGUUGAAUGAAGCCCAUGGUCCAGGGAAAGUCCACUUAAAUAAUUUAAACUUUUCAAUUAAAAAAAAAUAUUUUGUGUUAAAAAAUGUGUAUUGAGAUUUAAAAUGGACAUUAGUGUGAAUAAAAAAUGUUUCAUUUACAAAGCCUAAAACAGAAUUUCAUACUUAUGAAAGCUACUAGGAAUCUGCCCUAAGUGACACUAUCCAUCAACAGCUGGGUGAUACAGGUGUGAAAUAUUCUCAAUUUGCUGUUCACAUAAACUCCUCCACAAUCUCAUUCCUAGAUAAUGGAAAUGAACUGAAUUUGUUAGUGUAAGCAUAAGAGGACAUUUCUGUACCAUAGUUCAUCCUACAGUUAAGUUGUUGUUCAGAUUUUGUGCUACCUUCUAUACCAUGUGUUUUUCCUUCUGUACCUGUUGAAAACAAACUAUCCAUCCUUGAAAGAAACGAAUCUCUCAAGCCUACAGGGAUAGCAACAUGUUCUACUAUAAAUCAAGUUUUUCCACCAAGAGCUAACUCCUGAAAAAAGUGCAAAUUGCUAUUCCCUGAAAAAAAAAAAGAAAAGAAAAAUGCCCUUAUAAUAUGCAGCAUCCUGUAUGGGAAAUGUCAUUAAACACAAUAUCCAAUGUUAAACCAAAUGAGUCUGAUAGUCUUUCACUUAAUCAGUUACUUACGAAAUUAGAAUUCUUCUACCAUAAGCCUUACCCAAGAAAUAUGGAGGUUCUGGUGUUGUAUACAAAUUGAGAAAUCUCCAGAGUUUUUGAUACUCAUUUAACACCUAAUUUGUAUGAAACUGAAAGGUCAUAAGCUCUCAGAUUCUCAUGAGCACAGUGAAGUACACAAGAAGGGGUCAUUUUCAUUGAGUACAGAAGUGAAUUUACCCCAAAAAUAUUUUACAUUUAUGAAUGUGGUUUUGUUCCAAGUUUGGGUAUUAUAUGCCUGAUAUUUUGAGGUAACUUCCUUACAAUUUAGGUAAACUUUAUUUUUAUUUCUUAUGCUUAACUUUAUAUUACAUUUCUGCAGACUCAAAGACCUAGCCAUUAUUUCAAUGAAUAAAAUGCUUCAUAAUCAAGA